UCAGAACCUUUGUCUACAAAGGACUACCGUCGGACCUGUCAGAACGGCGAUCUCGAACGGGCUGAUUGCGCAAUUUGAGAUAUCUCUUCUUUGUGGUUCUGCAAAGUUGAUUCUCUAUCACUUCUCUCUGAAUCCAUGCGAAAAUUAACGGAAGCAUGAAGUCCUCCUCCAGAUGUUCUCUUUUGUGCUGAAUUUGCAGCUUUGUUGCUAAAAACACUAGGAUGUAUGUAUAUUCCUGUGGAUGCAUCCAUAUCAGAUCUGAAGGGAGAAAUUCCCACUCCAACUUGAUCGUGUUCUUCAUCGUGCCUUAUAACCCGGUCCUGACUUUGCAUGCGCUCUUGCAGAGAUGCUGAGUCAAAGCAAUUGUGCGUUGGGUAAGACCUUUUAGAGUCUACGCAAUUGUUCUCUUGAUCUCUCUCAUAAAUCCGAAUUUUUUCAGACACACUCUUCGACCAUCUCAUUUGUGAAGGAGGUUCUUGGUUUUUGGCUUGAAGUGUUUUCCUCCUUUUGCUCUUAGCCUUGGCAUCCUUUUCAACAUUUUCUUGAACAGAGACCUGACACAGUUCAUCUUUGCCCUAAUUUUUCUCUCCAUUUCUGUUCAAAUCCAAAUUCUUGACGAGGAGAAUGAUUUUUCUGCUAUCUUGAUUUGGGAGCUAAGGGAUUGUGAAUUCUUGAAAGAUUUCCUAAUUCAUUGGUUGCUUAAUUGUUGAAUGACGCUUGAGUGAUGAUUAGAGGAUCAAUCUGCUCCAGUCCUUCAUUCUUGAUCAUCUUGAUGGCAUUUAAAACUGCUCUAAUAGGCAGCACUGCCAGAUUUGUAUGAAAAGCGGUACAUGGAUGAGGCUAAGAACCCGCCUAACAAGUGAUAGAUGACAAAAUGACGGAAACUUCAACAGUUCAAACAACUUCUAAAACAGAAGCAGGGAAUAUGAACCUG